AUAACAUCAAAGAAACCUUUACACUUACCUGAGGCAGCUUGUUCGCCGCAUCUACCAUGUGAGAGCACAGAGAGAAAAUGCUAUCCAAUGGACCCUCGCCAGACACCAAAUCUGCCGGCACCUUGACCUUGGACUUAUCAGCCUACAGAAACAUGCAACACAGAAUAUACAGUUUGAUGUGAGAAAAAACAUGCAACACUUCUAAGGAAGUAAAAUUUAAAUGCAGAAUGAGCAUCUGAAAAAAAUUAUUAGUUUGACAGAUUCAGUACUUUUCUGCUAGCUGAAAUCAAGGACGGCAAGAAGCAGAGGACAUUUGACAGGAAAAGAAAUCCCACUCAACCCCCAAAGAGCCUUUCUCUGUAAUCAAAUACAAAGCCACUGGGAUUCAUGAGAAUGUACUAUGUGCAUAAUGAGCAUCCUGAACAUAAAUUUAUCGGUGGACAUACUCCCAAAUCAAGUAACAAACAAAACUAUGAGGCAAAUUUCUAUCGAAAGGAAGAAACAAUGAAAAGAGAAGAGAGAAAAGAGGAGAAAAAUGUGAAAUUGUCAUAAAAAGAAGUAUUGGGUGCAGUGGCUCAUGCCUGUAAUUCCAGCAGUUUGGGAGGCCAAUGUGGACAGAUCACCUGAGGUCAGAAGUUCAAGACCAGCCUGACCAACAUGGAGAAACCCCAUCUCUACAAAAAAUACAAAAUUAGCCAGGCAUGGUGGCGCGUGCCUGUAAUCCCAGCUACUCAGGAAGCUGAUGCAGGAGAAUCACUUGAACCCAGAAGGCGGAGGUCGUGGUGAGCUGAGAUCACGCCAUUGCACUCCAGCCUGGGCAACAAGAGCGAUACUCAGUCUCAAAAAAAAGAAAAAAAAAGAAAAAAAAGUAUCAUAUAUUUAGCCUUUUGUUAUCUGAUUCUUCUUACUUUGUAUAUGGUCACUAAGGAAGAAGGACAUCAUGAAAGACUUUGGGAAACUUAACCAACUUUUGGAUGUAGCUCAUGAGAAGAAAAGUACAGGAAAUUUUGACACAUUUAAAUGAAAGUGAUAAUAAAUUUUCCUGGUUCUCACGCAUUUUCUAAUUAACAAUUUCCUGCUUUUCUGAUAAUUAAACUCAUCAAAUGAUAUAAAUUAAUCAGAGUACUUACUAAGUCAAAUUGCCUUAAAUUAUCACAUUUUCUCCAAAAAAAAUUGUUUUUAUUUUUGCCCAACCAAAAUUAAGCUCAUUGAAACUAAAAGUGCAGUUAUUUUAAGGACCAGCUCUUCCAGAUACAUACUUU
rnacentral:lncRNA from 1 species